ensembl:snRNA U5 U5 spliceosomal RNA
UCACUCUGGGUUUUCUACAGAUUGAAUAAAUCUUUUGCCUUUUACUAAAGAUUUCCAUGCAGAGGACCAAUAAGAGAUUGAUUUAAUUUUUUGAUGCCCUGUUAAACUGUGGGGUU